AUGAGAUUUGUUGACAACUAUUUUUAUGAUCAAACUUACCGAUUAGUUGUUGCAGCCCUGGUCUUUAGGUUAAAAACAAAAAUAUGUCCUUGAUUCCUUAAGGUAGAAACAACAGGACGUACAUUGAUAGUUUGUUUCCAAGUCACAAAUGCCCUUUUUAAUUAGAUCUUCAACUGUUAUAUUACAAAGAUUGUUCUUUUCUUUGCAUGAAUGACUGUAAUACAUUGUAUUUAAGAAAGCUGCAUAUCUUGGCUUUGUACACGUAUCCCAUUCUUUUAGAUUCAAAAACAUUUCAUCUUUUCCUUUCUCAUUCCAUUAUGUAGGUAAUGCUUGCUCUCGCAGUCUUCCUGUCUGUUGAUCCACUACUUCAAGCUGAAGUUUCUCAAAUAGUUGCAGGUUUUGGAAAUGGUUUCCAAUAAAUUCCUUGCAGUAGCCCAUUCAUCUUUAUUUCUACAGGUUGCAGAUUGUAAUGUUCAGCUCUUUUCAGUCUUGAUAUCAUUGGUACAGCAUCCUCUUGAGCUUUUGUUUGAUUCCAUGCCAGAACAGCUCCACGUCUCUUUGCAAGAUUAUUCCACUGUAGACGAAAAACUACCAUGCAGGUUGAUAUCAAGAUAAGGAGAAGUAUAAAAGGUUUCCACCUUGGCCAUAAAGGUUUCGCUGCUUGAACUCUUUCCUGGACAAACUGACCAACCUGUGGUGUCCAAGCUCAUAAAAGAAUGUCUGUGCUACAUAUGACUAGAUGGAGGAAGGAGCUGGCUUUUACCCUGGUGUGAGGAGUGCUCCAUCCUUGGUCCUUCUUGUUGUAGAAGUCCUUAGCUGGAAAGAAUCCAAGGAGAGGAGGCUUCAAGCUUCUGGGAAACCGCUACAAGACAGCGAUCAGCAUUCAGAUAUUUGGGAGCUGUGUGAGGGGAACUGGCUCCCUGGCAAUGUAGUUUGUUUAGUUACACUGAACCCUGGAGCAAUAAGCUAUUUUUUUCCCAGCCUCCAUGGUGGGAAAUUUGACUUUAUUAAGGUGGAGGGUUCAGUCAAAAAAAAACACUCUCAUAUAUACUGCAUUUUCUUUAGGCAAUAGCUAUUGCUUGUUUGACUAGACUAGCCACAAUGACAUUUGUGUAGAUGUGACUUUGUUGUGAUACAACUUGGCUACAUUUCUUAAUUGGCUUUAAGGGCUAUCAUAUAUAUGAAUAGCUGUUGCUACAGACAACCCACAACAAUUUUGAGAAGCUUCAUUAUGAGCUCAAGAAAACUACACAUUAUGCUGACAAGCUAUGUAGUGACCCUUUCUGUGUGGCUGUGUUGAGAUGUAGGCCCACAUUUGUAUUGCUUUAUACAAGUCAAUAGAUUUGUCUUAAAAUGAAUGAUAUACCAAAAAGGUAUAAUCCAAGACACUUAGAAAUAUUAGUUAAUUUCAAUGUUUUCUUAUUGCACAAGAAAGUCUUCAAUCCUUAAUUGAAAAUCACAAUUUGAUUUAUCUGAAUGAAUGUUCAAGACUAUUUAAUAGCAGUGCAAAGAAAUUGUAAGGGAAAUUCAAGAAAAUGAUCUGAACAGGUUGAUAGUCAUAAUCUAGGACACACAACAAAAUCUUUAUAAAGUGACAAUGAUAGAUAAAUUCUUUAUCUGUAUCUGCAAGCUGUCUAUCCUUGUAAAGAAGCCAAAUUGCCUUGAACAGAUUUUCAUUUCUUACAAGUAAUUCUCCAAAGAUUAAAGAGCAAACUAAUUUGUAAGGAUUCAGAAAUCAAUGAGGAAAGUACAAUAGUUAGAGAAUAUAUUUCACUGAUAUCUCACAGAUUAAAGAAAGAAAAUAUGAUAAACUUUAUUAAGAAAAAGUAAGUUAUUAAAUGUACUUUAAAAUAAUAUAUGGUUUCCACAAAUAAAAAAACAUACCAAAAAUCUUUUACUACAGACAAAAUUCACUAAGAGUUGGUAAAAUUAAUAAAAAAAAUGUACUGCUUACAAGAAUACUUCUUCAGCUUGUCACUCCCAAUAGAAACUUUAAAAAAACAAAAAAGAAUUCUAGAAUUAAAAAUGUAACUUAAGUUAAAAAUAUUUUGAUAACCCUACUGAAGAAGUGUAUGUAUUGGGUACUUGUAAAUCAAGGCUAAUCACCAGUAAGGGUUUCAAGGCGCUGCUCAUUUUAUUGACCUUGGAAGGAUGAAAGGCUGAGUGGACCUCGCCGGGGAUCGAAUCUGCAACUCUUGGGUUGCUACAGAGCUCAGCCACAGUGCCUUAGCAUGCUGAGCUAUCUGUGGAUAGCUAGGACCUCAUAACUAUUGUCUUGAGAAUAAUAUUAUUUUGUGAAUUGAAUAAGAUGCCUGUAUUCCAUAUGGUUUACUUCUAUUGAGAUUUUUAUAUCAAUCAUGAUCAACAAGAGAAUGGGGGGGGGGGCCUAGGUGGACUAAGAAGAAGGGUUUUGCUUUUUUCCAUUUCUCUGAAUACUAUUUCUUUGUAUUUUUUUCUCAUUACUCUUUCCUCUAUAAACCAUUUGUAAGCUACUAUGAGUUAUCUCUUUAGCCACACUGACAGUAGAGAUGUGAGAAUAAUAAUAAACAUGUUAUUUUGCACUCCUUGUGGAUAUUUA